CAGCAGCCACGGUAAUACGAAGGGUGCAAGCGUUAAUCGGAAUUACUGGGCGUAAAGCGUGCGUAGGCGGUUUGUUAAGUCUGCUGUGAAAUCCCCGGGCUCAACCUGGGAAUGGCAGUGGAUACUGGCAAGCUAGAGUGUGUCAGAGGAUGGUGGAAUUCCCGGUGUAGCGGUGAAAUGCGUAGAGAUCGGGAGGAACAUCAGUGGCGAAGGCGGCCAUCUGGGACAACACUGACGCUGAGGCACGAAAGCGUGGGGAGCAAACAGGAUUAGAUACCCGAGUAGUCCCUGUCUCUUAUAA
rnacentral:rRNA from 1 species